AAAGUGUACUUUAAAAUGUUUUAUAAAUAAAUAAACAGUGCUUUAAGUAAAAUGCUUUAAUUUUCAUGGAGCGGGUCGCCUCAUGUGGGCGCCAUGUUGAGAUCAAAUGACUCUCAGACUCAGAGUAGCUUAAUGUACUCACUUGCAGGCCAUCCACUCUGAAUAGAUUUGGAGACAUUUUGCAUUAAAUCACUUGCUCACCACUGGAUCCUCUAGUAACACUAUGAAGAAAUGUGGAUGUAUAUAUGACCACAGUUGUUAGGACUCCUCAUUCUGAUGGCAUCCAUUCACUGCAGAGGAUCCAUUGGUGAGUAAUUAAUACUAAAUUUCUCCAAAUCUGUUCCGAUGAAGAAACAAACUCAUCUACAUCUUGAACAUUCUGAGGAUAACACCUGAUCCAAGCACGCAAAAAGCCUUUCAGAGUGCAAAGUGAGAAGUUCCUUAGGUAACAACCAGACAUGACCUGAGGUUUCAUGCUGAAAGGCUCCAGGCGCUCGCUUUCAGGCAGCAGAUUGUUGAGACGCUCCAUCAGUGGUAUCGUCUGGUCGAUGCCCAUCUGAAUGCGUCUCAGAAUCAUCGACAUCUCAUUGACCUUCUGGAUCU